rnacentral:rRNA from 1 species
UGAGCGGCGGACGGGUGAGUAACGCGUGGGUAACCUGCCUCAUACAGGGGGAUAACAGUUGGAAACGGCUGCUAGUACCGCAUAAGCGCACAGUACCGCAUGGUACGGUGUGAAAAACUCCGGUGGUAUGAGAUGGACCCGCGUCUGAUUAGGUAGUUGGUGGGGUAACGGCCUACCAAGCCGACGAUCAGUAGCCGACCUGAGAGGGUGACCGGCCACAUUGGGACUGAGACACGGCCCAA